UGGGGAAUAUUGCACAAUGGGCGAAAGCCUGAUGCAGCAACGCCGCGUGAGUGAUGAAGGCCUUCGGGUUGUAAAGCUCUGUCUUUUGGGACGAUAAUGACGGUACCAAAGGAGGAAGCCACGGCUAACUACGUGCCAGCAGCCGCGGUAAUACGUAGGUGGCAAGCGUUGUCCGGAUUUACUGGGCGUAAAGGAUGCGUAGGCGGAUUUUUAAGUGAGAUGUGAAAACCCUAAGCUUAACUUGGGGACUGCAUUUCAUACUGGAAAUCUAGAGUGCGGGAGAGGAGAAUGGAAUUCCUAGUGUAGCGGUGAAAUGCGUAGAGAUUAGGAAGAACACCAGUGGCGAAGGCGAUUCUCUGGACCGUAACUGACGCUGAGGCAUGAAAGCGUGGGCAGCAAACAGGAUUAGAUACCCUGGUAGUCCACGCCGUAAACGAUGAGUACUAGGUGUAGGAGGUAUCGACCCCUUCUGUGCCGCAGUUAACACAAUAAGUACUCCGCCUGGGAAGUACGAUCGCAAGAUUAAAACUCAAAUGAAUUGACGGGGUCAUAGC
rnacentral:rRNA from 1 species